rnacentral:tRNA from 1 species
GGAGGGGUAAGCCUAAUUGGUAAGGCCCCGGUUUGCUAAACCGGCAGUAACCCGAAAGGGCGUAUGGGUUCGAGUCCCAUCCCCUUCGCCA